rnacentral:rRNA from 1 species
AGUGGGGAAUUUUGGACAAUGGGCGCAAGCCUGAUCCAGCCAUGCCGCGUGCAGGAUGAAGGCCUUCGGGUUGUAAACUGCUUUUGUACGGAACGAAAAGACUCUGGUUAAUACCUGGGGUCCAUGACGGUACCUGAAGAAUAAGCACCGGCUAACUACGUGCCAGCAGCCGCGGUAAUACGUAGGGUGCGAGCGUUAAUCGGAAUUACUGGGCGUAAAGCGUGCGCAGGCGGCUUUGCAAGACAGAUGUGAAAUCCCCGGGCUCAACCUGGGAACUGCAUUUGUGACUGCAAGGCUAGAGUACGGUAGAGGGGGAUGGAAUUCCGCGUGUAGCAGUGAAAUGCGUAGAUAUGCGGAGGAACACCAAUGGCGAAGGCAAUCCCCUGGACCUGUACUGACGCUCAUGCACGAAAGCGUGGGGAGCAAACAGGAUUAGAUACCCUGGUAGUCCACGCCCUAAACGAUGUCAACUGGUUGUUGGACGGCUUGCUGUUCAGUAACGAAGCUAACGCGUGAAGUUGACCGCCUGGGGA